rnacentral:lncRNA from 1 species
GCUACUUGAGCCUUGCUGUCGCUGGAUGAUGACAGACACCAUCACGCGUCACUCAGCGUAAGAUGGAAGCACAGCACUCGACAAGACAAAGGAGGGAUUUUGUUGCUUCUGUAGUCCCAGCAUCAGUCAUUAAGUGAUGCUUAGGAACUGCCCAAAGCACUGAUCUGCAGGGCUGUGCACUACAGCAGCCGUUUCUAGCACAGACCAGCACCCAGAAGAGCAGCAAGAAGAAUCAAACUGUUUGAACGCAAUAUAGUGGAACACAACUGUUCAAAUAAAACAAAGAGUCAAGGCUUCAGGAGAGAAUUCCAACUGAACACACGCAGUAACCAGCCUGACCCCAAAGUUCUUACGGAACUGUAAAAACUCUGACUCCAAAUUAUUUCCUGCAAAAAGCAGCUUUUGUUUUGACAGAUUUCAGUAGGUUUUUGUUUGAUUACUCCCCUUACAGUGCUACAGGGAUUACUCAGAAUUUUCUAGCCUUUCCCUAUGGAGAAGCCUCCAGGGAAGGAAUGAGAUCAGAAAGGAGAGCUGCUCCGUCUCACCCUGCUGCGCUCAGCCAGAGAGAGAACUCGGCUCAACCCAGCAGAGUGAGCAUUCCCUUAUGUUUCAACAUUGCUCUGUUUAUAAUCUGCAGGGUAAGUUUUCUCAGAAAAUUGUCUCCCUUUUCCUUUCACUAAAAACUGCCAUUUCUUCCUCCUCUGCCGUAUUCCUUUGUGAAAACCAAAUAGAAUGGUUUCACUGUCACCAUAUUACAGCAAGCUUGUUAAUGAAACAAAUGAGUUCUGGGUAUAACCCUAUUAAAAUGAACUGCCCUCAGCCAGCCAUGCAGCCUGAUUCACCACGUACCUGUGUGACACCAGGAACAACUUUCUGCCAGGAGCUGGGCUGGGCUGUGUGACACGCCGCACUGUGGGGAAGGUGGAAUUACAACUCAUUUUACCAGCGCUUUGAGGACCUGACUUUAUUUACCCAUUUAAUAAGCAGGUGGCUUUGUGCUGUUGGGUGAGGUCUGUUGAAUCAGAACCCAACGCUGGUUCUAAUUAAGUGAAUGUGUAAAGGAUGACUCACAUGGAAGCUGCACUUUGCUACUCUUCCCUGGAAGAAAGAACAUGAGCAGUGCCUCACAUCUGAGGUUCAGCCUCUGGAAUUUUCAAUACAUCCCUACAGUAAACAUUUCACACUUGAUAUGUCGAGUUUGCUGUUUAUGCAUUCCAUUUAAAUAUAACAUUUGGAAUUUACAAACUAACUUAAAAACAACUCUGGAGCUACCUAAAAACAUGAAGACAAGAUUUAAGUCACUGACCAUUAAACAAAAUGUUUUAAUGCUACGCUACGGCAGUAUUAUUAAAACAUACCUACAUGAAACCUGUCCCUGGCCUUUCCAGCCUGACCAGAAGCCUAUAUCUGCCAGUGCUCCGUUCUCCUCAGCUUUACAGUGGUCCCUGAACCAUUGGGGACAAAGGAGAACCACAAAUGGAAACCAAUCCUAUGUCAAAAGCUGAAAGCAGCUGCAGGGAAAAUGUCACUCACAGCCAUGCCAAAAAGUUAGCACCUGUCGAAGAAAGGCUUUAAAGUUGAAAAUGGUAACUGAUAUUCUCUUUAAAACAAACAAUCAAAACAAAAAUAGACUCUAGCACUCCGAAAUGCAGAGUGGACAGUUAUUUAACCAUGUUCUGAACCGAUACUAUUACGGUGAGUCACACCAAAUUAGUGAUGGUAAAUGCCAUAGCAGCAAGCAAAACUGGCUGCUGGUAACAUGCACAGCAUAACCUGCAAGGGUUUAGUCUUUAUGCUGUAGGAUGGUGCUUUAUUAAAAAGGGAGAGCUGUUUUUUUUUAAUUUGAAGAGAAAUUACUGGAGGAGUGCUGCUACCAGUGAAGCCAGUGGGAGUUAUGAAAUUAAUUACUUGGAUGAGAAUUGUACCCAGCCUCAUUUAUCCCCUUUAAUUUUCAUUGAAGUAAAAUCUGGUCCUGAAUGGCACUAUGAACAAAAUAUAUGCCAAAGAAAGCAACCUGAAUUUUGUUUAUACUGAGGGUAGCAGCUUGUAACCCAUCUUUGUAAUUUAGAGUGGACACAAAGGAGGAUUUAAAGGACAGAACAAUGUCAGUAAGCAAGGAGAGAAGAUGUGGUGAACAACCUCAGCUGCACCUGAUGGUAAUUUUGGAUAAGUCUGAGCACCUGUCAGCGAGCAAGUUACAAAGUGCUGCGAGUGUUUGCAGCAGAGCUGCUCAGGGAGCGCACAGAAACCUGGCUCUGUCCUCAAGCCUGUGCUGCUGAACCUGGAGCAGCAGCUGUUAGACAAAACGUCCUCACAGAAAUGAAAACAGAUUUCUGCAGUCAGAUGAACAGCCAGAAUUCCCUCUCCACUGAGGCUCAUACAUUUGGAUAUGGACUCCUUUAUAUCCAUAAAGGACUGCAUGUUAGGAGCACCAGGAGUCACUCCGUGCAUUUCCAUCUGAACACGCUUCUAUCUGAAAGAACAGAUCUUCAUUCUUCCCGUUCAUCAAAUCAAGCCUGACUAUUCCUACAGGUUUUUUGUUAGCAUUGUCUCCCAGGAGAAUACAGCGGGUGCAGUUUGCUCUGUCAUUACACAGACAUCUGUCCCAGCAGGAGCAUUCGUGUCCAAUUACAGACGUUCAGUAAAAGGCAUUUCACUGGCAGAAGCAAAUUUUGGUAAGAAUCAGUGAUGUUUCAGUGUCUUUUAUCUUAUUAACCCCUACGUUUUUAGAGCAGAUCUUCCUGUUAUUUCAAAACAUUCAGAAUGGGUUCUGCUAACAGAUCUACAGUGAUCCAGCACUGGGUUUUACCUGCAGUUAGUGUUCCAUUAUACUUGUUCAGACAGUGUCCGCAUUAAAAGCAGCCAUCCAAACCCCAAAGUAAAGAAAAAAAAAAAGGCACAUAAACAUUAAAUAUUUG